rnacentral:misc_RNA from 1 species
GUUUAUAGGACUGCUAAAGAAUUGAAGCAGACAAAUUUUUCCAAUAUAACUUGGGGUUUCAAUGUCAGCAAGAAUUCUCAUUACCUUGUUCGGGUACACUUUUGUGACAUUAUUAGUACACAACAUGAUGCUCUCAAGUUCUAUUUUCAUAUUUAUAGCAACUUCAGUGCGAAUAUCAGUUCUUAUGACAUAACUAGACUUCUGGCAUCACCGUUUUACUUUGAUUUUGUUGUUGAGUCAGAUAAUUCUGGAUUCAUAAAUGU